rnacentral:ncRNA from 1 species
CAGGGAUAAAAACACGUCCCGGUAGGUAGUCCGGGAGUCCCCGCGGGGAUCAGUAACCUUCCUCCUUUGGUCGUCCGUUCCCUGUC